GACGAACCGUGCUAACGUUAUUCGGAAUCACUGGGCUUAAAGCGCGUGUAGGCGGAUGGGGACGUCGGAUGUUGAAAUCCCCCGGCUCAACCGGGGAAGUGGCACCGAAACGCCCCGUCUUGAGGGACGUAGGGGGACCUGGAACUUCCGGUGGAGCGGUGAAAUGCGUUGAGAUCGGAAGGAACGCCCGUGGCGAAAGCGAGGUCCUGGACGUUUUCUGACGCUGAGACGCGAAAGCUAGGGUAGCGAACGGG
rnacentral:rRNA from 1 species